UACGGGGGGAGCAAGCGUUGUUCGGAUUUACUGGGCGUAAAGGGCGCGUAGGCGGCCACCGCAAGUCAAUUGUGAAAUCUCCGGGCUUAACUCGGAAAGGUCAACUGAUACUGCGGGGCUAGAGUGCGGAAGGGGCAACUGGAAUUCUCGGUGUAGCGGUGAAAUGCGCAGAUAUCAGGAGGAACACCGGUGGCGAAGGCGGGUCUCUGGGCCGAUACUGACGCUGAGGAGCGAAAGCGUGGGGAGCAAACAGG
rnacentral:rRNA from 1 species